rnacentral:rRNA from 1 species
UACGUAGGUGGCAAGCGUUGUCCGGAAUUAUUGGGCGUAAAGCGCGCGCAGGCGGUCCCUUAAGUCUGAUGUGAAAUCCCACGGCUCAACCGUGGAAGGUCAUUGGAAACUGGGGGACUUGAGUACAGAAGAGGAAAGUGGAAUUCCAAGUGUAGCGGUGAAAUGCGUAGAGAUUUGGAGGAACACCAGUGGCGAAGGCGGCUUUCUGGUCUGUAACUGACGCUGAGGCGCGAAAGCGUGGGGAGCAAACAGG